rfam:Leuconostoc mesenteroides subsp. mesenteroides ATCC 8293, complete genome.
CAACUAAAGAAGUUAUUUGCAGAUAUAUCGUUGGAAAACGGCCAACAGUUUCUACCACGCCCCAAAAGUCGUGACUAUCCGCAAAUGUUUUUGACGA